rnacentral:rRNA from 1 species
CGGAGAGUUUGAUCCUGGCUCAGGAUGAACGCUGGCGGCGUGCCUAAUACAUGCAAGUCGAACGAGGUGCUUUUUGUAGCAAUACGAGAAGUAUCCUAGUGGCGAACGGGUGAGUAACGCGUUGGUGACCUGCCCCAAAGUGUGGGAUAACUCCGCGAAAGCGGGGCUAAUACCGCAUGUGGUCAUCGGGUUUAGAAACCGGUGACUAAAGCAGUAAUGCGCUUUGGGAGGGGCCUGCGUCCCAUCAGCUAGUUGGUAGGGUAACGGCCUACCAAGGCGACGACGGGUAGGGGACCUGAGAGGGUGGCCCCCCACAAUGGAACUGAAACACGGUCCAUACACCUACGGGUGGCAGCAGUAGGGAAUAUU